UACAGAGGGGGCAAGCGCUAUUCGGAAUUAUUGGGCGUAAAGGGCGCGUAGGCGGCCUGGCAAGUGGAAGGUGAAAUCCCUCGGCUUAACCGAGGAACUGCCCUCCAAACUGCUUGGCUUGAGUCCGGGAGAGGUGAGUGGAAUUCCCAGUGUAGCGGUGAAAUGCGUAGAUAUUGGGAGGAACACCAGUGGCGAAGGCGGCUCACUGGACCGGAACUGACGCUGAGGCGCGAAAGCGUGGGGAGCAAACAGG
rnacentral:rRNA from 1 species